rnacentral:rRNA from 1 species
CAAGCUGGCGGCAGCUUAACACAUGCAGUCGAGCGAGACCUUCGGGUCUAGCGGCGGACGGGUGAGUAACGCGUGGGAACGUGCCCUUCUCUACGGAAUAGCCCCGGGAAACUGGGAGUAAUACCGUAUACGCCCUUUGGGGGAAAGAUUUAUCGGAGAAGGAUCGGCCCGCGUUGGAUUAGGUAGUUGGUGGGGUAAUGGCCCACCAAGCCGACGAUCCAUAGCUGGUUUGAGAGGAUGAUCAGCCACACUGGGACUGAGACACGGCCCAGACUCCUACGGGAGGCAGCAGUGGGGAAUCUUAGACAAUGGGGGCAACCCUGAUCUAGCCACGCCGCGUGAGUGAUGAAGGCCUUAGGGUUGUAAAGCUCUUUCAGCUGGGAAGAUAAUGACGGUACCAGCAGAAGAAGCCCCGGCUAACUCCGUGCCAGCAGCCGCGGUAAU